GACGAACGCUGGCGGCGUGCCUAAUACAUGCAAGUCGAACGGAAAGGCCCUGCUUUUGUGGGUUGCUCGAGUGGCGAAAGCGUGAGUCACACUUGAGUAACCCGCCCUUGACUUUCGGGUAUCUUCUGGACACUGGGGCUAAUACCGGCUAGGAGAUCCUGCUGCAUAGGGGGGGAUGGAAAGUUACGGCGGUUGGGGAUGUACUGGCGGCUUAUCAGCUUGUUGGUGGGGUAGUGGCUUACCAAGGCUUUGACGGGUAGGCCGCCUGAGAGGGUGACCGGCCACAUUGGGACUGAGGGACGGCCCAGACUGGUACGGGAGGCAACAGGGGGGAAGAUUGCAGAAUGAGCGGAAGGCGGAUGCAGAAACGCUGCGGGCGGGAAGACGGCCUUCUGGUGGAAAACCGAUUUGGCCUGUAACGAAGCGUGAGUGACGGUAAUUGAUAAAGAAGCACCGGCUAACUACGUG
rnacentral:rRNA from 1 species